CUCGUGUACAAAUAGCUGGAGCUCGCGUGCGAGUUCUAUCGGGUAAAUCCAAUGAUUAAAUGCCUCGAGGGCACAACGCCCUCGACCUAUUCUCAAACUUUAAAUAGAUAGGACCAUGCGGAUGCUUUGUUGAGCUGCGCCAUAGAAUCAAGAGCUCCAAGUUGGACAUUUUUGGUAAGCAGAACUGGCGAUAUAGGAUGAACCAAAAGCCGGGUUACGGUGCCAAAUUGCACACUAACCUAGAUCCCACAAAGGGUGUUGGUCGAUUAAGACAGCAGUACAGUGGUCAUGGAAGUCGAAAUCUGCUAAGGAGUGUGCAACAACUCACAUGUUGAAUCAACUAGCCCCGAAAAUGGAUGGCGCUUCUGUGCGCGACCUACACCUGACCAUCGGGGUAAGUGCUAGGCCUUAAUGAGCAUAAGGGCGCGACGGUCACUGCAAAACCUUAGGUGCGAGCCUGGGCGGAGCGGCCGUCGAUG
rfam:Capsicum annuum cultivar Zunla-1 chromosome 1, whole genome shotgun sequence